rnacentral:rRNA from 1 species
UACAGAGGGGGCAAGCGUUAUUCGGAAUUAUUGGGCGUAAAGGGCGCGUAGGCGGCUUUUCAAGUGGCGGGUGAAAUCCCUCGGCUCAACCGAGGAACUGCAUCCGAUACUGGCGGGCUUGAAUCCGGGAGAGGGAUGUGGAAUUCCAGGUGUAGCGGUGAAAUGCGCAGAUAUCAGGAGGAACACCGGUGGCGAAGGCGGCAUCCUGGACCGACACUGACGCUGAGGCGCGAAAGCUAGGGGAGCAAACGGG